rnacentral:snRNA from 1 species
GAAUGUGAGCGUGCUCUGGCUGCAAUAUCGGCCACUGAUUGAUUGCCAAGGUCGAUCUGGCUGAUCUGGCUGGCUAGGAGGCUGCUCUCUUACCUGCCCUCAUCACGCCGUGAGCGUCCCUCCCAAAACUGUGCUCUCAGUGGAAGAGGGUGACUUUCCUCCAUGGAGGUACCUCUAAGGGUAUAUGAGUAGCUGUAUUCCCCUGUUAGAGUCUCCAAACAAGCUCUCAAGAAUGCAUGUGGUCUAAAUGAUUAUGUUAUAAUAUCUUAUAGAUAGAUAGAUAGUUAGUUUCCACCUUACGAUCCUUCAUCU